rnacentral:rRNA from 1 species
UAUAGUCGAAUAUUACGAACAAUAGUUUAAAAUUCAAAGAACUUGGCGGUGUCUUAUAUGCCCAGGGGAACCUGUCUCAUAACUCGAUAACCCACGAUCUCCCAACCUUCUCUAGAUAUUCAGCCUGUAUACUGCCGUCGUAAGUAUACCUCUAAAAGAUAAAGUAUACAAUCAUGACAACUACUAUAUAGUAACUCAUUUACGUCAGGUCAAAGUGCAGCCAAUAAGAAGGUGAUGAUGGGUUACAACCUAAAAACAGACAUAGAUUAAGACAUUAAAAGCCUUAUGAAAGUGGACUUGGUUGUAAUAAAAAUAAAAUAUUAUAAUAAACAACAAUCUAAGACAUGUACACAUCGCCCG